CUUCUGGUUCCAGGAAAAGCAAGCCGUGGGGCUGGUGCUCAUGUCUACACAGAGCGGCUGAGCGGACUUAACUGCCUUAAGCGGAGCAGUGGGGUUUGGGUGGGUGCAAAGGCGGCUCCCGUUGGGUGCCGAUGCCCUCUUGCCAAGUGGCCUCCUGGCAUGGCCCUCCGGGGGCUGUUCUUUCGCUGAGGCUCGGCUCGGAUGUACCCAGUUGCUGGGUUCCCAUGGCAAACGCAUAAGAACAGCCCUGCUGCUGGAUCAGGCCCAAGGCGGCCCAUCUCGUCCAGCAUCCUGUUUCACACAGUGGCCCACCAGAUGCCUCUGGGGAGCCCACAGGCAAGAGGUGUGUGCAUGCCCUCUCUCUUGCUGUUGUUGCUCCCCUGCAACUGGGAUUGAGAGGCAUCUUGCCUCUGAGGCUGGAGGUGGCCUAUAGCCAUCAAAUCUAGUAGCCAUUGAUAGACCUCUAUGAAUUUGUCUAAGCCCCUUUUAAAGCCAUCCAAGCUGGUGGCCAUCACCACAUCCCAUGGCAAGGAAUUCCAUAUAAGCUUCUUGGGAGGGAGGGCAUGAAUAAAACGUGAUUAAAUUCAAAAUGAAAGAGCAUGUGCUUGGAAACAAAAACCCAGAUUUCUGCACCAAGAAAAACUGAAUUAUUUCACCUGCAAACAUUAUUCACAUGAGGUCACUUUUAUUAUUUUAUUAUUAUUUUAUUUAAUUAUUCAGUACAAUCGUAUACCGCCCUAUACAAAAGGGCGGUUCCCAAUAUAAAAAACAUUAACAUGAUUAAAACCAUUUAAAAUACAAUAAAAACUCUGAAAACUGAAGCUUUAAAGCUAUAAACUAAGAGCCCGAUUCAACAGACGUGUUUUAGGUCCUUCUUGAAAACAUUCAGAGAAGGGGAAACUAAUUUCAUUAGGAAACACAUUCCAGAGUUUUGCUUGUGUCUCCUUCAUUUGCGCAUCCUGCUAGUCGGGGGGCGGGGGGAGCUCGCCCUGCAGUGCAUUGACACACACACACACCCCGAAUUUAAAAAAUACAUCACUGGAAAUAUUAUUUGGUCCCAUCUCUGACUUCUGAGAUUUCAGCAAGUCCUGCAAAUUGCCUUCGACGUGAUUUUUGGAAGCUAAUAUUCCCAGAACUGGUUGUGCUCUGCAACUGGUGUGCGAUUUCUGUGGCUGGUGUGCAUGUGCAGGGUCUUGAAGAGUGCCCCCUUGCCACAGGCACUGGUGACGCCCAGCACCACCCCUCCUGCACACACAGCUGGUUUGCAGCUCCGACUUCCCCGGGCCUGUGCUCUGCUCCUUCCCUCAACGUGCGCUGUGCUGAGCCUGCCGGAGAAGGACUGGAAGAACCCCAACGUGGUGCUUUGUUGGCAAGAAGGGUGCGCGGAAUCGCCAGGCCACUCUCCAUCCAGCAGGGACGCGAGAGGCUCCUGUCCCGACACGAAGGUAAGGCAGGUGGCGGGUCUCUCUUGCUCCUGUAACUCCCCUCUCCGUGCUGGAUAUUUAGGGCCUACGACGAUACGAUGGGCGUGUUCUUUGCUCGCAGGCGCUGUAACCACCAUGACAGGCCGUCAAGGGGGGAAAGAGGCAUGGGCAGAAAAGGAGGAUUUCUUAGAGGUUAAUGCUACUUUGGGGGAGGAGGGGGUGGGGAAUCCGGAGCAGUGCAAGAGACCCGCCUGCAUCCUGCCGUGCCCAAAUUACUUUGUCUGGGGGGGAAAUAUUGGCUUAGAUCCUUGUUAAUCAAAGGUACGCCAUCAAAAACGAAAGGUGAAGGUGCCACAUUUUUGCAGAGGAAGUAUGUGGAAAUGGCAGCAGAUCCAGUGUGAAGACCCCUCUCUAUUAUGUCGGACUUCCUGCCCCAAGAAACCAGGAGAGCUGGUCUUGUGGGAGCGAGCUGAGCAAACAUCUCCUUCUUAAGCACAUUAUGCUGCAAAUCCCAUUAGGGAAGUAGAGCUAGUUCAGGCGGCCGAGGCUGGCAUGGGACACUUCCUUCCCGGGGGUGUGGGGGGGUGCGCACGCACGCGCGCACUCACACGAGCUCUGCCUUUCUGCUUCACCGGCCCCAAAUCCCAAGACAAAACUGGAGCUGUUUGCUGAGGUGUGGGGUGUGUCCUCUGGGCCUGCCUGCCCUUCAAGGGAAAGGUGGACUCCCUUCCAUGCCGCUCUGCUGUGCUCCUUGGCACGAGGCCCCCACCCGCCUGUGCCCUUGGCUUAGCUCUGCACUUGCCGCGGCUUCUCUGCCACACUCGGGCCCUUCGUGUGCCCAGAAAUCUCAUUACCUGCAUUAGGAGGUUUACUGGCUGGAGAGCUGUCAAGCCAGGCACUUUGCUGACACCAGGCCACUUUGAAACGCCACUGCCCUCAUUUCCUGGAGCUGCUGGGCGGGGGGGGGGGGGCUGGUCCUGCUAGGGGGCCCCAAGAGCUGCCUUUGCAUCCCGGAUCUCCUUGUUCCAGAGGCAGCCAAGCAAAGCGAGUGGGGCUCUAGCGUCCCGGGUUCACUCCCAGGUGGCAUCUCCAGGUGGGGCUUGGGGGACACCUGCCUGCAGCCUUGGAGCUGUGCCUUAGAAGAUGUGCCGCAGGCAGAAGCCCAACAGGAGAACUGCCAGCAAUAGAAGCCACAAUGGUGUGGCGGGGACAGCAUGAGCUCAGGGAACAGCUGGUUGGUACUUAGGGAUAGGGGAGUGCCGAAAAGGGGGUCUGCCAGUGUGCUUGAAAUCACACAGGUAGACCAAAGUUUUCCUGGUCAGUUGACAAUCCAUGCUUUUGCUCUCUCCCUUUAAUUUCUUAUUUUGCUCUGUGUUUCUAAGCCAUUCACACGUUACAUUCAACACUCGUCAGACAAGUGUGCAGUGGCUGUACACAGGUACAGUCGUUCAUGUAAUGCUGAAUGCAGGUACAGAAGUACACUUCCUGUCUGUGCCAUGCAUUUGAAGCGCCUGUAUCCGGGUUCACUUUUAAAAUGAACACAGGUACAGUCAUUCACACAAACAUGUGUACAGACAUCUGAACACUCAUACAGCAUAAUGUCUAAUUGGGCUCCUGUGUCUUUUGUGUCCACACACUUGCACACCUUGUUUCCAGCAUCCUGUCCAUCCCAGGUGGCCAUUUUGCUUAGGAGGUGUGCACAUUCUGUCACUUGGUGUCGCUCUUCCCAGUUUCUGCAGAUAUGGAUGUUUUGUCAUUCUCGGUUCUGUCACUGGAUGUCGCAGUUUGCCAUCUCUGCAGCAAUUUAGGUGUAUAUUGUCAUUCUCUGUUCUGGUACUAGGUGUCGCUGUUUGUAGGUUCAGUCUCAGAAAAGCUAAUAUUUGUGUGUUUUGUAACACCAUGUUCUGCCAAUAGCGGCUGCUGAUGGCAUCUCCUGCUGAUAUGGAUGAAGUAUUAAGGGAUUAGACUGCAAGGAGCACCUUAGGAGAGACCAUCAGCCUAUUGCUGUCCAGAGAGGAAUCUUGUUUAAGAACAGAAUUUGCAUGCAUCUGAUUCCAGAACCAGGUAACGAUCCACAGUAGUCUAUCCAGACAUGCUGAUUGUGUAAAGGCACCUAAAGCAGCACCAGUGGUCUCCUCUGAAGCCGCAUUGUUCACAACACGGGGCUAGAGAAUGAGUGUGUCUGGGGCGCCUUCUCGUUCCUUUCCCAGCUUUCCUUGCCAGGAGGAGUACAGCUUAAUCACAUGUCAAGAGGCUGGAGAAUGAUAGCAUUUUUGCCCUGCUGGACCGGCCUGAUUAAAACUCAGUAAUAAUACAAAUAAUUUUGAGGGGAAGAGCACCUGAUGAGGAUAUUAAAUACCGAUGAGCGAAGAGGCAGCAACUGUAAAACUGCAUGGCUCAGAUGAGAAAUUUUUUUAAAAAACAAAACCCCGCUCAUCUCUCACUUUGAUUGAAUGUUCGCUUCCAAAAUUAACCUUCAAAUUUAUCUAAAAAUAAAUUCGUAGCUAUGCUUGGUAUUCACGGAGCCUGUAACACUGCCUUACUCACUCCCUCCUGGUUCAGAGGCAGGCAGGUCUGCUGGUGCUACGUGUACUUUGAGAGUGUCUCAGAGAAAAGAUGGGUUUGGGGUGGGGGCGGGUUGAAACAGGGAUGGCCAACCUGAGGUUCUUCAGCUGUUACAUUCUACAGAGACAAAAGUAUUGGGCAGUAUAGAAAUAUGUUAAACAAAAUAAAUGAAUGAACUCCCAUCACCCCCUGCUGCAAUGUUGAGGCAGUGGGUGAUGGGCAUUGUAGUGCAAUUACAGCUGGGACACCUUAAGAGUAGCCACCCCUGACCUAAGGCAAUCAACUACCCCAAGGUUUCUCGCGAUGUCUGUGACAAGGCAGAGAUUUGUUGCUUCCAAGCGCUACGUUGGGGUGCAAAAGGGUUCAGAAAGGACAUCAGAGCCCUGUUGCUUCUUAAAGGUGAAUACAUUUAUUACAGAACUGCAUGUUUUUGCGCUGCAGCUUGCAAAAUAAGAUGCUUGCAAAUUGGACUUUAAUUUAUUUUAUUUGGUUUUAGUCUUGUAAAUGUGUGUUUAUUGUUCAGGAGCUGUUUUGUUUGGUCAUUGACCAUAACUAAACUAAACUAAACCUUUAUUUGGGCGCUAAACAGUCUGAAAUUCAGAGGCCCAAUUCAGUUGGGGUCAAGGUGCUGUGCGGAGGGGAAUUAACUCUCUCCAGCCCGGUUCUGGCCAGGAUCCAGAUUGCCCUCUGCCAUUAGUCAAUAAAAGUGUACUUCUUUUUCUUCCAACAGCAUCUCCUCCUUCAAUCAGUUGUUUCUUUGCUUUGUUACUCCAGGGAGGGGGAAGAGGGGGGUUUUCUGAUGAUAAUUUUAAGAAAUUGUGUUUGAGCAUUUAUAAGAGGGGCUUCUCAAAUCCCUUCCUGACUUCUUCUCUUAAUUGCGAGAGGAGAAUAAAGGGCUUGGGGGGUGGGAGAAGGAAUCAGGGAGCGGCUCUGGGUAAUGUGUUAAUUUUAAUUGAACAAUUACCUCUUCUCCUGAAGAGUUCAUUACUGAGACGCUCGUUGUCAGCUGUUGUUAUUGUUUUAAGAUGAAUGCUAGAGAAUCAAUUUAUAAAUUUUUUUAAAGCAGUUGCAAACCUGAUUCUCGCACUUGCCUGUUAGGUGCUGGUGUGCGAAAUAACUCCAAGAAAAAUCUUGCUAGUCUUAUCCCUUCUGUUUUUAAGGCACUGUUUUCUACGCCGGAUUCCGGAACUUUCAAAAAUGCCCUGACUUUGGGCACCACGACCAGCAUGUAGCAAGGGUGUCCUCUUGAUGGAAUUGCAUCGUAGGGGAGGGUUUGCUUACCGCCACCAAGAACAAUCUCCUAGCUGUGACAGUUCCCUCUUUUUUAAAAGAUGUGGUUUUGUCUUCUAGAAUUCUGGAAAUUGCAGAUACCCCAAUUAGGUGCACCAAAAUUGGCAGAAAAAUCGAAGAAAAGUCUCUGUCCUCCUUUUUAAAGUCAUUAUUUUGUCUGCCAUUUUCCUGAAACUGGCCAAAAAAUACCUCAACUUGUGCCCCCAAAUCAUCAGCUUGUGUGGCCACCUCCAGCCUCAGAGGAAAGAUGCUGCUAAAUACCAGUUGCAGGGGGGCAAUGACAGAAGAGGGGGCAAGCCCUCACCCCGCUGCCUGUGGUCAUCCCAGAGGCAUCUGGUGGGCCACUGGGUGAAACAGGAUGCUGGACUAGAUGGGCCUUGAGCUUGAUCAAGCAGGGCUGUUCUCAUCCCCUCUUGUUUAAACUGCACUUAUUAGCUUCUAUAUAUUUAAUUCUCUAAGACGUACCUGUGGCUAAUCCCAUGUGUGGCAGCUCUCACGAGAGUUCAGAGAGCUGUGGGAUAGCCACGGGUGGGAGGGAAGAAAAUGGUGGCACUAGCUGGGGGUGGAAACAGUGGCAAACCGUGGUGGAGACCGGUUGAUAGGGAACAGCAGUGGAGACCAGUUGACCAGUCAGCAGGGAACGGGGUGGAGACCAGUCAGCAGGUGACAGGGGUGGAGACCAGUUGACCGGUCAACAGGGAACAAGGUGGAGACCAGUCGGCAAGAAGCAGGGCUGCAGACCAGUUGACCGGUCAACCAGUCGGCAGGGAACCGCGGUCGAGACCAGUUGACCGGUCAACAGGGAACAGGGGUGGAGACUGGUUGAAAGAUAUCCCAAAUGUGGGCAUCAAAAUCUGUUAUUUUUUCCUUCUUGUUUUAGAAACUUUUAAUUUCCCAGGAAAGAAUAUCAGGCUGUGGCGCCCCAGUUCUAAAGCUGCCCAUUUCACUUGUCCCUUAAAACUGCUUUGUGUUAAAUAAAUUUCAAGAUCCUAAGUGAUGUAAGGAGAGAGUUGAUCAAGCCACCCACUGCAGCGUUGCUUCCAGAGGGGCGGGAGGUACCGAAGCAGGGCUUCUGGCUCUUCAACAGAGACCUGGGGACGCAGCAAAGGGGAACGCUUCAUCUGUUGGACAUCUACCCAUCAGCCCUGAGCAAAGCACAGAAGCUAAGCCAGAAAUCCUUCUGGGGGAAUUCCUGCCACGUUAUCGGUCAGUCUGUGCUGCCCUCUGGUGCACCAGCUUCACACUGCAAGACAUUCUCUGGUUUUGCUUUUGUGUGCGAGAGAGAAAGAAACCAAAAAAGACAAGCCCUUUGGCCAGGAGCAGUCUAGCCACCUUGCUUUAAGAAAGCCUCUCUUUCUCCGCAGCAACUCUGAAACCAUCAACUAAAUGCCACACUGUUGGCGGCACCACAUGUGCUUGGAUUAGCUCCAGGGGCCGGACCUUGGGGCAAAAGAGACACCCACCCACCCCACUGCACAGGGUGUGUGUGUGUGCUGAGCCCUCCAUUUCAGCUUCUCCUCGGAUGUCCCCAACUUGGACGCACACCGGAGUUGGAAACAAAAGGAGGGCAACAGAGGUGCGUUGGCUUUUAUUCCUAAAUAAAUAAAAUCGGAGAACACUUUGUGCAAAAUAAAACUCUGUCUAGGAAGAGGCCGCAGCCCCUGGCGGAAGGAACAGCGGAUGCCCCGGUGGGCCUGGCUGGCUCCCUCGGCAACUGCGGCAUGUUGAACUCCUGGGGGCAAGGCUGGGGGGCAGGUCUCCGCUGGGGAGGAGCCGUCCUGCUCUCGGCGCUCCAGCCCGUCUGACGAGGUUCCUGGCUUCCCCGGCAUCUGGUGGAAUCUGGCAACAGUCGGAGACGUUUGGCUGGCUUUGUUUUUGAAAAGCCGGCUUCUGGUCCUCGCGGCUGUGCAGAGCAGCUCAGGAAGAAGGCGGCAGGUGCGACAUCCUGGCCCAGGCUUCAGGCUGCACUCCGUGGCCCCGUAACCCAGGGGAUGGGGCGGAGCAGGAGCGUCCCGAGAGGGAGCAGCCGGGAGCCAGAGGGGCUGGGCCGGUGCUUGUGCAGAGGCUGCCCCCACCCUCCGGCCCAGGUUAGACAUGGGAACCUUCCUUGCUCCAGUUCUGCGGGCAGCUGGCCCCAGAAGAGCCCAAGCUGUCCAGCGGGACCACCACCACCUCGUCCGGGUGAGAAUUCUUGUUCAGCUCCACCACCCGGGGUACCACCGUUGACCAGCGAUCUGCAGAGAGAGAAAAAGGCCGUGGGGCACAGAGGCCAUGGAAGGGAUGCCCCCUCCCAUACUGGCCAGGAGAGAGGCCCCCCCGCCCAGGAACUCCUGGACCGGGCCGCCCUCCAGGUGGCUUAGGGCAGCUUCUCCUGGACCCAGAGCGCCCGCCUCCAUACUCCUCGUCCCUGCUGAACCACACCUCCCAUCAGCCGAGCUGGAGGGGGCCAUCUUUGCCCAGCCCUGGCCAGAAGGCACCUUCUCAAGGGGGGAGGGGGGCUCUCUUCCCUUUAGCGGAGGGAGAGCAGCUGUCCCUCUUCAGCCCAGCAGACCAUCCCUGGGGUCUAGUUGGAGCCCUUUCCUUGCUGGCUUCCUUCUCACCCAGAGGCAUCUCCCUGAGAGCAGCCGAACUGCAGCCUGCAGAAGCAACCCUCUGGGCCCGCCAGACGGCCGAGUGCCUCCGCUAGCUGGGAAAGGCGGGCCUGCUUGGCCCCUGAGCGUAGCUGCCAGAAGUGCCCUUCAGCUAGCUCCCACCCCACCCCGGCUUACUCGGAGCCUGGACCCCUGACCCUGCCAGGCCACUCACCUCUCCGCAGCCGGCUCACCGUCUGGGAGAAGCCGUAAUACUGAUAGGUCUCGUUCUUGCCGGGGUCUUCAUUGAUGAUGCCCAAGUUCUGGUUCCAGUGAGACCAGUUGACCUCGUCCACCCUGGCGGGGGGAGAAGCAGAGUGUGGUAAGCAGGGGAAAGAAGCCCAACUGUGGCUCCUGUCCAGGAGAGAAGCGAUUCCUUGGGGCCAGACUGCUCACCAAGAUGGGGUCAUGGACAGCUCAGAUAGAAUGCUACACCCCAGGGGUUCUCAACCUUGGGUCGCCAGUAGCUGCCGGACUCUGGCCUACACAAUAGCCUAAUAGGAAGGCUCUAGUGGCUGAGGAUGCUGGGCGUUGUAGUCCCAUCAAAAGGUAGGGAAGCCCUGUGCUAAGCCAUGACCCACAGCAAGCCUCAGGUUCACACCCUUCUUCUCCACCCCUGAGAGGAAGAGAUUUGAAGCGUCCGCCCCGUUUCCCCUUUUGUCCCAAUACAGGAAGACAGUUUGUUCAAACCACACGUUUUGUUAACAAACCAGGGUUUCAAGCCAUGGCUGAAUCCCAGCUACAGUCCCUACAAACCUUGGCUUCCCCCUAGUGGAUGAAUCGGGAUGCUUUACACUUCUUAUGAAAGGGACCAAGCUGUAGCACCAUGUGUGAAUUCUGCCAGACAGAAUCUGGGUUCAGUGUUGGGGUCAAUCUGGGUUCAGUGUUGGGGUCACAGGUUAUUUAGAACUCAAAAGUUACUCCAACUUCCAAUGGAGCAAAACCAUGCAGAAUAAAGACUCCUGCUAACUUGCCUCUGGGUUGCAGAAGCCCUUUCUCUGGGGUGCAACGUUUGGAUGGGAGCAGAGUUCCAUAAAAACAGGUAUGCACCCUCUCGGCCAGGGUUCCCUGGAACAAGGGCUCCUAGAUGAUGUGGACUACAACUCCCAUCAUCUCCAGGUGCAAUGGCCUUUGGCUGGGGAUGAUGGGAGUUGAGUUGUAGUCAACAACAGCUGGGGCUCAUGGGAACCUAGGAAGCUGCCAUAUACUGAGUCAGACCCUUGGUCGGUCUAGCUCAGUAUUGUCUGCACAGACUGGCAGCAGCUUCUCCAAGCUUGCAGGCAAGAAUCUCUCUCAGCCCUCUCUUGGAGAUGCUGCCAGGGAGGGAACCUGGAACCUUCUGCUUUCCCCAGAGUGGCUCCAUCCCCUCCUGAGGGGAAUAUCUUACAGUGCUCACACAUGUCAUCUCCCAUUCAAAUGCACACUAGGGCAGACCCUGCUUAGCUAAGAGGACAAGUCAUGUUUGCUGCCACCAGACCAGCUCUACCCUCCCGUUGAAGGGAACCCUGCUCCAGACCCCAGGCCUCGCCUCGAAGGGGAGGGCCUUGGCUGUGCCCACACCGUCACCAUCCACGCUCACCUGAAGCACCAGCGGCGGUCAGGCGUCCCAUCCAGGGCCUUCCCAACGGUGACCAUUUCUCCCGAGCGAAAGGCUUUCCGGACGAACACAGGGAAGGACCUCUCAAUGUCCAGGAUGGUGGUGGCCCACUGGAGGCAGCAGAGGAGGGGGAAACGUUACCGCCAAGACCCAGCCCUGGCAGCAGCCCAGCAAUAAGCCGUGACAAGCAUGCCUGACACAUGUCAGCAUUGAGGAGGUCUCUGGGUUAAGCAGAUCUGCAGGGGGAAUUCAGGCCACCGGCUAGCAGCAAAAGAGUUGGGCAGGGGGCAUUUGACUGUCACCCAGCGCACUGGACUGGGCACCCUCUGGACACCGGAGGGCUCGGCCCCCAGCCCUCCCUGGCGGUCCCUACCUGCAGCUUCCAGAUCUGCUUGCUCUCCUUGGAGACCUGGCCCACCGUCUCCCCCAUGAGGGCGAUCAGCAUGUUGAGCAGGAGGACGAAGGUGAGGAUGAUGUAGGUGACCAGGAGGAUGACGAAGACCCCGGGGUAUUUGGCGUUCUCGAUCAUCUCCAGGUCCCCCAUGCCGAUGGUCAGCUUGAAGAGGUCCAGGAGGAAGGUGCUGAAGGUGGUGCUGUCCCGGCAGGAGGGGUAGGCGGGGGCCGUGCAGUUGCCCUGCUCCUCGGUGCAGGCCUCCAUGCUGGGGCAGGGGUUCAGCAGGGAGACCAAGGCUGGAGAGGGAGCGGGAGGGGUCUUGGGUCCAGGCCAAGGCAGCCAGGGACCACAAACAGGAAUCGGGGCGGGUGGGUGGGGGCACUUCUCAAGGCGAAAGGCUCCCCGACUCAAAUGUGCUUGCAAAUCCCACAUGCAGGCAAUUCCUCUAAACUUCCUUGGGGAGGAGAGCUGUCCUCUCUGCUAAGCAAGAUCCACCUUGGUUUGCAUUUGGAUGGGUGGCCACAUGAGAGUUGGAACUUCCACUCAGGGGAAGAGCAUCUGCUUUUGUGCAGAAGGUCCCAGGUUCCGUCCCUGGCAGCACAGAGACAUAGAACGUAGGAAGCUGCCCUGUGCUGAGUCAGACCCUCGGUCCACCUAGCUCAGUAUUGUCUUCACAGACUGGCAGCCACUUCUCCAAGGUUGCAUGCAGGAGGCUAUCUCUCAGCCCUAUCUCGUUGGAGAUGCUGCCAGUUGGGGCUGGGAAAGACUCUUGCCUGAAGCCUGCCAGGGAAGCUGCUGCCAGUCAGUGUAGACAAUACUGAGCUAGUUGGACUAAGGGCCUGACUCAGUAUUCCCAAUGCCUCAGAUUGGAGAUUCUACACCCUGGUGGUGUUUUCUUUUGUUAAAACUCUCUUAAACUAAACAUUUAUAUCUGGAAACAAAAACAAACCCACCACACUCCUAUCUGGAAACAGAAAUAGAACGCAGCCUGUUGCAACGAAUGUGCAAAUCUUGGUCAGCCAACUGGCUUGGUUUUGGUUUUCAGUCCUCCUGCUGAACAAACCAGCUGGCCAGGCCCUACCUGUGGACGGGUGCCCCCUCACCUGACGCGUAGCCAAUCAUGAACAGCACGUAGACCAGAAGGAACCGGAAGAGAUCUUUGAAGAGGAUCUGCAGUUGGAGAGGGGAGAGCACAAAGGUCAGCAGCACACAGAAGAGCAUGUGCAGAGUGCUUUAUUUUUAGCUGCUGCUGAGUAACUGCUUCUGAGAAAAACAAGCCGGUCGAACAGCGUGCCUUUGAGAGGGGGAUGCGGCACCUAUAAGACUAGGGAUUUAGUGCUGCUCAGACCAAGAUUGCUCUAGAACAAUAGCAGCCAACAAGCCGGGGGGCACCAGAAGAAAUGCAGCUGGCUCCGGUUCCCAGCAGCCCCCUCCCAUCCAGCCUCUCCCCACAGUCAACGAGAGCUGUGCUGCCUGCAGGCUGGCCAUCCUCAGGUAGAGCUGGGUCACUGCAGGCAGCAUGGCUCCCGUGAAUGGCGGGGAGGGGCAGGACGGAAGAGAGAGGCUGCCGGUAACCAGAGGCAUUGGCAACCCUCGCUAGCUGGGCAAAGAGGUGGUGAUUCUCUUCACUGAGCAGGGGGAGAGCAACUGGCCCUCUCCACCCCCAGCACAGCAUCCCUCCAGUGACUGUUGCUGGGGUCUAUCUUGAGUUUAUUUUUGGAUCGUGAACCCUUCGGGGACAGGGAGCCAUCUUAUUCAUUUAUUCAUUCAUUCAUUCAUUUAUUUCUCUGCGUGAACCGCUUUGGAAACUUUUGUUCCAAAGCGGUCUAUAAAUCUGUAUUUGCCCUCCCUUCCCCCGGAGCACCUUCUGGAUCAUGAUGCUGUAAGUCCCGGUCAGCUUGAGGCCUCGGGUGAAGUACAGAGCAUUCAUCCAGCCCAAAACCAGGGCAAAGACCAUGACGGCCAGAUAGGCCUCGAUCCCCGUCAGGUACAGCGCUGCCGCCACUAGCACCAAGACCGAGUAGAUGAAGCUAGAGAGGGCCGGCCAAGAAAGCAAGACACAGUCAGAGGGAGACGGAGAGAGAGGGACUCCUGACAUCUCUGGGUGGGUCUGUCUGCAGUCAGGAAGCCCCCUCGUGCACGCCCCAGGACACGUGGGAGAGGCUCCCAAUUCCGCAAGGUCUCCAGGGUUGCUGGUGGGCAAAGAAGUCCCCAACGUGUGUGUCCCCCCCAAUCUAUCUCAGGGGUUCCCAACCUGGGUUCCCCAGAUGCAGAGGGACUACAGCUCCCAUCACCCCCUGCCUCAAGGGUCUGAGUGGCCAGGAAGUUCCACAGCUCGAGCUAAGAGGCCUGUCCGCAUCGCAACCAUUCCGUGCCUUCAGUGCCUGUCUGUCUCUGCCAGGAAGCAUUUGUACUCACUAGAGUAGUUGGAAGGAGCCAUCGAUGAAGAAAGAAUUCACCCCAGGGCACUUCUUCAUGAACAGGUCUUUGAUCUGGGGAGAGAAGAGGAGAUGGAAGGGGGGACCUGAGGAGGGCACAGAGGGGGAGCAGCUGCCAGGAUAGGAAACAGGCAGGGAGAGAACAGGAAGAGAGGUGAAGGGAAGAGGGGGUUUGCAGGCCAUACAAAAGGAUGUGCCAGCAGGGGUGCUUUUUAGAAGUAUUCCUGUCAUCUACGGAGUAAUUUUUACCUGUAACUGAAAGCUGAGAAAGCCUGAGACAGAAGCAGUCUGUCGUAUUUUGAAUAAAGCUUUUUCCCUCUU